UACGGGGGGGGCAAGCGUUGUUCGGAAUUACUGGGCGUAAAGGGCUCGUAGGCGGCCAACUAAGUCAGACGUGAAAUCCCUCGGCUUAACCGGGGAACUGCGUCUGAUACUGGAUGGCUUGAGAUUGGGAGAGGGAUGCGGAAUUCCAGGUGUAGCGGUGAAAUGCGCAGAUAUCAGGAGGAACACCGAUGGCGAAGGCAGCUCGCUGGGACGGUACUGACGCUGAGACGCGAAAGCGUGGGGAGCGAACAGG
rnacentral:rRNA from 1 species